AAUUCAAUCCUUUCCCCCCUUUUUUGCCCGAUUCUUCUAAUCGGUUUUGAGCCUGCUGGAGGAUCGCGGCGUCUAUCCAUUGUACGCGUUUCUGCUUCAAUAUCGCUGAGAUUUUCCAUGGCUCUUCUUCCCGGCUUACCUCGUCCCCCAGACGAGGAGACGUGAAAACAAACCAAAAGUACUCGUAAGUCUCAGACGGUUUAAGCUCCUACGUAGACACGAGACAGUUUUAGAGAGAACACCGUAAAUAUAUCGUAGAGAGCGACGAACUCAGUAGCUAUUAAACGCUGUGCACAUGUGCCUGUGUACUUCCGUCCUAGAAUAACUGCCGCGUCCUUACCGUAUCCGUUUUACUUAUUGUGCAUCCGUUGAAUGGCAGAUCCUUUUCCAAGGCUGAAACAAACACGAGUCAUUAGUAAACAGAUCGGAUUUAUUUAGUGUUCUAAUCGGCAUUUUGUUACAGUAGUUUAUUGUGACUUUUUAACUGGAAUUGCUUAUAAUGAUAACAAUAGUUUACGAGACUUUUAAAAAAGAAAUCUAUUAUAAUCUCGAUGCAAAUAAAGGCAAAGUUGAUUCGCAUAAUCUUCACGGUUUAAUAAUGAACUUUGACUAAAGUCCAAUCGACACUUAAUUGAACUAGAACAAUAUAUUGAAGCUAAACUUCUCUAACUGUAAAGAAUAAAGAUGUAAUUUAUAGUUUCUAAUGUAUACAUUUCUAUUCACUUUUUUCCUUUCUUUCAAAUACCACAAAAAUUUAAUAAUUCUAUUAAAAUAAAUGAUAAAAUUAUUAAGUAUUAAAUAUUAAAUUAAUUGACGUGCAAACCAGUAGAAUUUUCAAUAAUGUAUAUAAUAUAUAUAAAUUCAGACUUUUAUAUUGCGGAAAUCAAGUCUCAAAAAUCUGGAAAAUAUUAGGAGAAUGUAGUCGACAAAGAGAUUUUUUACCUAAAAUCAGGGUUGUACCAUAAAAUUCAAGAUUAUGUCUCCAUGUAUCAUAUAUGUAUGCAUGUUAACACAAAUCUUUUCUGUAAACAAAAUAUAAGUAACAUAGAAUUAUUAUAAAUUAGAUAAAAUAAUAGAAAAUACAGAAAAAGAAUUAAUUAGUUAUAAAAUUGUUAAUAUAUCUUAUAUAGUACGUAUUGAUAAACAAAAUUUAAUAAUUUAUAGUUUUUAAAAAUUAAAAAAUACAAAUUAAUGUCCCUCUAUUUACGACUCUUUUGAUUUACGAAUUUUCGAAUCGAUAUAAUUAAAAAUGAAUAGAUUAUGAAGUUGAUCAAAGCACUCGUAAACUCAAUCCUGUCUGAAGUUUUUAUUUUCCUAAGAAUUUUUUAAAAUUUUCAAGUCACUGCCAGCACCAUCUAUGACAAACUAUCGCAAACCACUAGCGAUAUUUGCAGUUAUUUUCGGUCAAUAAUUUAAUCACAAAGUUCUAGCCUGUCCGAUAGAUGAGUUUCUUGACAGUUCGUCACAUCGCCAACAGAGAGGGCUCGAAUCUGGUUUUUGGAUCGGUUUCUCAUCGGAUUUUUCGCCUUAGGAUGGAUACACCCAUAGAUGCUCCUGACUGAGCUCUCGAGGCUCUGCGAGACUCUCUCGAGCGGCCCUCUAAUAUCUCAAGCGGUUCACAACUGGACGCCUGGCAUUCCCGCGCGAUGUUUACCACGGAGGCUUGCGGUGAGAAAAUAACGCGUUCGAGAUUGGAACCAAAAAAAAAAAAAAGA
rnacentral:lncRNA from 1 species